rnacentral:rRNA from 1 species
CAGCUCAAAUUUGAAAUCUGGCCUUUACGGNUCCGAGUUGUAAUUUGUAGAGGAUGUUUCGGGCANCGCUCCGGUUUAAANNUCUUGGAACAGAAUGUCAAAGAGGGUGAGAGUCCCGUCUUGAACCGGUUGUAGGGUCCAUGUGAAACUCCUUCGACGAGUCGAGUUGUUUGGGAAUGCAGCUCAAAAUGGGUGGUAAAUUUCAUCUAAAGCUAAAUAUUGGCCAGAGACCGAUAGCGCACAAGUAGAGUGAUCGAAAGAUGAAAAGCACUUUGAAAAGAGAGUUAAACAGUAUGUGAAAUUGUUGAAAGGGAAGCGCUUGCAACCAGACUUGAGCUCGACGGUUCCCCCUUCGUUUUCGUUGGGUUAUUCCGUCUUGUCCAGGCCAACAUCGGUUCGGGUGGUUGGUUAAAGGCCCUGGGAAUGUAUCUACCCUCCGGGGAAGACUUAUAGCCCGAGGCGUCAUGCAGCCUACCUGGACCGAGGAACGCGCUUCGGCUCGGAUGUUGGCGUAA